rnacentral:rRNA from 1 species
GACGAACGCUGGCGGCGUGCCUAAUACAUGCAAGUCGAACGCACUCUCGUUUAGAUUGAAGGAGCUUGCUCCUGAUUGAUAAACAUUUGAGUGAGUGGCGGACGGGUGAGUAACACGUGGGUAACCUGCCCUAAAGUGGGGGAUAACAUUUGGAAACAGAUGCUAAUACCGCAUAAAACCUAAACACCGCAUGGUGUAGGGUUGAAAGAUGGUUUCGGCUAUCACUUUAGGAUGGACCCGCGGUGCAUUAGUUAGUUGGUGAGGUAAAGGCUCACCAAGACCGUGAUGCAUAGCCGACCUGAGAGGGUAAUCGGCCACACUGGGACUGAGACACGGCCCAGACUCCUACGGAGGCAGCAGUAGGGAAUCUUCCACAAUGGACGAAAGUCUGAUGGAGCAACGCCGCGUGAGUGAAGAAGGUUUUCGGAUCGUAAAACUCUGUGUUGGAGAAGAAUGUAAUCUGAUAGUAAC